rnacentral:rRNA from 1 species
GAUGAACGCUGGCGGCGUGCCUAAUACAUGCAAGUCGAGCGAACAGAUGAGGAGCUUGCUCCUCUGACGUUAGCGGCGGACGGGUGAGUAACACGUGGAUAACCUACCUAUAAGACUGGGAUAACUUCGGGAAACCGGAGCUAAUACCGGAUAAUAUAUUGAACCGCAUGGUUCAAUAGUGAAAGACGGUUUUGCUGUCACUUAUAGAUGGAUCCGCGCCGCAUUAGCUAGUUGGUAAGGUAACGGCUUACCAAGGCAACGAUGCGUAGCCGACCUGAGAGGGUGAUCGGCCACACUGGAACUGGGACACGGGCCAGCCUCCUACGGGAGGCAGCAGUAGGGAAUCUUCGGCAAUGGGCGAAAGCCUGACGGAGCAACGCCGCGUGAGUGAUGAAGGUCUUCGGAUCGUAAAACUCUGUUAUUAGGGAAGAACAAAUGUGUAAGUAACUAUGCACGUCUUGACGGUACCUAAUCAGAAAGCCACGGCUAACUACGUG